rnacentral:rRNA from 1 species
GAUGAACGCUGGCGGCGUGCUUAACACAUGCAAGUCGAACGAUGAAGCCCAGCUUGCUGGGUGGAUUAGUGGCGAACGGGUGAGUAACACGUGAGCAACCUGCCCCUGACUCUGGGAUAAGCGCUGGAAACGGCGUCUAAUACUGGAUACGAGUAGCGAUCGCAUGGUCAGUUACUGGAAAGAUUUUUUGGUUGGGGAUGGGCUCGCGGCCUAUCAGCUUGUUGGUGAGGUAAUGGCUCACCAAGGCGUCGACGGGUAGCCGGCCUGAGAGGGUGACCGGCCACACUGGGACUGAGACACGGCCCAGACUCCUACGGGAGGCAGCAGUGGGGAAUAUUGCACAAUGGGCGGAAGCCUGAUGCAGCAACGCCGCGUGAGGGAUGACGGCCUUCGGGUUGUAAACCUCUUUUAGCAGGGAAGAAGCGAGAGUGACGGUACCUGCAGAAAAAGCGCCGGCUAACUACGUGCCAGCCGCCGCCGUAAUAC